GUGUGCUGAACCGAAAUUCUAGACUGGAGGCUCUUGCGAUUUAUUUGCGUAAUUGAAAUAUUCAGUUUAAAUAAUAAGUAAGUUUUAUAAUCAUUCAUCGCCACAUCUUUAUUAACAUUUCUCUUUUCCGGCACGUUAUCAUAAUAUAGAGUUAUAAGUUCAUCUUUGACCACAUCAAGUCCAAAGAACCUGUUUGAUUAUUGCUUCAUUAACCCUUCAUAUCAACGCUGACUGUGAUUAAAAUGGCUAUUUUAGAUUUCCAACUCGAACAAUCUACUUUGGUUCCAGAAGUGCUAUCAACAAUAAUGGAAUCUCUUCAUGAAGGCAUUGCUGGCUGGAACACUAUGGAUAAAUUUAUCAAGUUUUUACAAAGUAAAUUGAACAAUGCAGGGUUUAGAAAUUAUUACAUCACCUAUAAUGAGGAUGAUUUAAUUUUGUCUGACGCAUAUAUGUUACAAUAUGCAGUAAUCAGAUAUGGGUUUGACUUAAUACAAGUGAUCAGAAUUAUGUAAAAUAAGUUUUAUACUUGUAAAAGCCCUGAAAAAUGGAAAAAUUUU